AUGGAGCUCCAGUGAGCAGAGGAGUGGGAUGUGAGAGAAAGAACCGUGCAGACCCCGAGUUACUAACAAGAAUGCCAUCAUUAUUCCAGUCAUUAGCAAAAUGGAUGUUGUUGUCCGGAGUUGCCGGCUGUGGGACUGCUUUCAGGAGGAGGUCUGUUCCUGGCAGUACAGCCUGAUACCUCUCCCUUUAAGUCAGUGUUGCUUGGACCUGAAGAGAUGCUCUGAUGAUGGAGAUACGCGGAUGAAGGGGAAAAGGCUGGAACUAAGCUGACAGCACUCAGCCGCUGUAAGUGUGAACCGGUCUGCUGCGACAAGGAGCUCAAGGAGAUUUAAGAUGGCACCUGCCUUUCAGGGAGAGCAGGGGGGACUUACUCCAUUUGACCAACUCGUACCAUGUCCUCAGGCCUGCGAAUGGCUUAAAGGAGACUCUUCUCCACAAGAUAGUGAAAUGGUGUCCGUGUGGAAACGCGCUGUGUUCGUUGAAGUGCCUGAAGGUGAGCAGGGCCCAGCCCAGUGUUGUUGCAGAAGUAGGAGAAUGGCAUCGGGAUAGCUCAAAAAAACCCAAAACAGCAACCAAAAAAACUGCAUCAGAAAGAAAACCUCCUGCCAUGUCAUCUUGCCCAGACCUUCCAGUGAGACAGCCUUUCCCAACUCUGUCAGGGACCAUCUCUCAUGUACCAAAAGCGUUGCCGCUGUUUGCAAAGAGCUCUCCAGGCAUUUAGGCGUCUUCACUUGGGAGUACUGGCAUUUGGGACCAAGGUAUGGCAAACCAGGGCGUGUGCUGCUGGAACUGUUAUCAAGGAAAUUUAAUCCAGCAACCCUCUCCUGCAGGACUUCUCAAGGCUUUGUCUCUCUUCCCCCAUUCCCCUGCAAAUGUCC